rnacentral:tRNA from 1 species
UGGCUCAGUGGUUAAGAGCACUGAACUGGCUCUUCCAGAGGCCCUGAGUUCAAAUCCCAG